rnacentral:rRNA from 1 species
UAAUACGAGGGGGGCAAGCGUUGUUCGGAAUUAUUGGGCGUAAAGGGUGCGUAGGCGGUUCGGUAAGUCACCAGUGAAAUCUAUGGGCUCAACCCAUAGUCUGCUGGCGAAACUGCCGGGCUUGAGUAUGGGAGAGGUGAGUGGAAUUUCCGGUGUAGCGGUGAAAUGCGUAGAUAUCGGAAGGAACACCUGUGGCGAAAGCGGCUCACUGGACCAUAACUGACGCUGAGGCACGAAAGCUAGGGGAGCAAACAGGAUUAGAUACCCUGGUAGUCCUAGCCCUAAACGAUGACUGCUUGGUUUGACGGGUACCCAAUCCCGCCGAGCCGAAGCUAACGCGAUAAGCAGUCCGCCUGGGGAGUACGGUCGCAAGGCUG